rnacentral:rRNA from 1 species
UACGUAGGGUCCAAGCGUUAUCCGGAAUUACUGGGCGUAAAGAGUUGCGUAGGUGGCAUAGUAAGCGAAUAGUGAAAUGACGAGGCUCAACCUCGUGUCCAUUAUUUGAACUGCUAAGCUAGAGAAUGAGAGAGGUCACUGGAAUUCCCUGUGUAGGAGUGAAAUCCGUAGAUAUAGGGAGGAACACCGAUGGCGUAGGCAGGUGACUGGCUCAUUUCUGACACUAAGGCACGAAAGCGUGGGGAGCAAACGGG